rnacentral:lncRNA from 1 species
UUGUUGUCAAUUAUUUUAGAAAUACAACUUUCUGAAUCUUGGUUGUUGUACGUCAGUGUGGUGACACUUAUAUCCUUUGCGUCAAUAUGAUGUCUAUAUAUAUGGCGUUCAGUAAAACCCGGAACACCCGAAAAUACUCUUGGUGAGAGAAAUAAUAAUGUUCGUUACAAAUUAUUGACAGAUAGUUGUUCAUAUACCAGCCGUAUUCCGAUGAUUUACUAAACACCUGUCUAUGUGGUGAUAAAAUCCAUAAAUCUAAAAAAACUACGUUCUGCAUCAGACGAUAUGUCCAAUCUGUAAGUUUUCAAUCAUGUCGAGGUAAUAAUAACGGCUUAUUGACCGAGUUACAUGUCUGUACUGUGAAAUAUCAGACCGAGCUUUUUUAGUAUAUUUCACAGUACAGACCGAACAAGCGAGGUCAACAAUCGGUUUAUUAUAUGGCUGAACUGAGUCUGUGAGGAUAUGCUUUUUAAGUCGGCUGUCAUCAUUUUCACUGGGUAACAAUAUACGGUAGGCAUGCAUGCUCAAUCAAAAACAAUUUGGUUGUUUUAAAUUUUUAUCUGUAAAGCACAAUUGGAAAUUUAAAAAGCAAAAUGUUUUUCUGUUUGCUUGAAAGCAAAA